rnacentral:rRNA from 1 species
GACGAACGCUGGCGGCGUGCCUAAUACAUGCAAGUAGAACGCUGAAGAGAGGAGCUUGCUCUUCUUGGAUGAGUUGCGAACGGGUGAGUAACGCGUAGGUAACCUGCCUUGUAGCGGGGGAUAACUAUUGGAAACGAUAGCUAAUACCGCAUAACAAUGGAUGACACAUGUCAUUUAUUUGAAAGGGGCAAUUGCUCCACUACAAGAUGGACCUGCGUUGUAUUAGCUAGUAGGUGAGGUAAUGGCUCACCUAGGCGACGAUACAUAGCCGACCUGAGAGGGUGAUCGGCCACACUGGGACUGGGACACGGCCCAGACUCCUACGGGAGGCAGCAGUAGGGAAUCUUCGGCAAUGGGGGCAACCCUGACCGAGCAACGCCGCGUGAGUGAAGAAGGGUUUCGGAUCGUAAAGCUCUGUUGUAAGUCAAGAAAGGGUGGGAGAGUGGAAAGUUCACACUGUGACGGUAGCUGACCAGAAAGGGACGGCUAACUACGUG